CCCAGGCUCAGCUGCUCUGAAAUGACCCCACUCCCUGGGAGGGGGCUGCAGGAUCCAACUAUCCGGGAGGCCAAACAAGGAACGCCUUUCUUGGCAAAGGAGAAAAGGACCUGGGAGGCCCCCUUCGCUCAGGUGACCCACCCGACCCCCAUUGCAAACAGCUAUAAAUCCUCCUGCUUCCCCACCACAGCAUUCCCGGGCACUCCUCUCACUGGAGCUGGGCCUGGCUCUGCAAAGCAUGUCACUGCUGGAUGGCCUUGGAAGGAAUGUUGUAAGUAACUUCACAGCUGAACAACAGUGGGAAUGGAAACCCUCAGAACUGAUGGCUGUGACAUUACAGGUCCUAAUCAGAGCAGAUACCCAUUCUCCACUCUACUGAGUAACUAAACUUCACACUGCUGGAAGGCUCCCUGUGUUGGGCUGUGCUAUGUUACACUGACAAACAUGCACAGCAUUUCCAAAGGACAGAAUUAUCCUGAGAGACUAACAUCACCAGUCAGCUUAAAAUUUGACUGAUCAUCUGUAACAGAGUCUCGCUAACUGGUUUUCACAGAUGAGUAAGAACAGAUACUGCUGGGGUUUUUAAUUGCUACCAUCAAGCUUAAUUGGAGGUUCAAGCUGAAUGAGUGUAAGUAUACAGA